GUCCAGAAGCUCCUUAUGAAGGCUGCAGAGAUGAUGAGUGACCCCCCAGCAGCAUAAAAGCCACCUCUAGUGUCCUCACUUAAAGUGCGGUGCACUUCAGCGAAGUGGAGCAUCACCCUGAGACUCCUGAUGGUCAAAGCAUGCUACAGCAGGUUGUCAAACCAUGAUGGGGAACCCACUGACAGCCAUUUAAAAUCACCAAUUAACCCAAUAUUGGACAAAGGAGCGUCCACAGCAGGAAUGUUCAGGUAACUUGAUCCAAUUAUGGGAUGUCUGUCUCUG